GACGAACGCUGGCGGCGUGCUUAACACAUGCAAGUCGAGCGGUAAGGCCCUUUCGGGGGUACACGAGCGGCGAACGGGUGAGUAACACGUGGGUGACCUGCCCUCAGCUCUGGGAUAAGCCUGGGAAACCGGGUCUAAUACUGGAUAUGACUCCAUGACGCAUGUUGUGGGGUGGAAAGCCUUGUGCGGCUGAGGAUGGGCCCGCGGCCUAUCAGCUUGUUGGUGGGGUGAUGGCCUACCAAGGCGACGACGGUAGCCGGCCUGAGAGGGCGACCGGCCACACUGGGACUGAGACACGGCCCAGACCU
rnacentral:rRNA from 1 species